GUUCGAUCGCUCAAACAAAUAGUUGGGCGUACAAAUAGCCCGGCAAAUGGACAGCGACGUUCGUAGUUCACCGUUCGGAACUAAACGCACGUUCGAUCGCCCAUCGGUUCGUUGUUCGCGUUCGUCGGUUGUCCAAAAUUAAUUCCGGCAGCAACGUUCGCGAAAAAACCGCGCAUCGCUAUAGUUAACUUGGAAUUUGGCACAUGCCAGGCAAAUCCAAGCGAUUCGCAGAGGUGUGGAGACGUCGCAAAUGGCCAAGGCUGGAUGGAUUUGGAGGCUCCACUUUGCGAGAGAAAGUUUAAAGCAGUUCAAAGCGUCAAGACGCGUUGUUCGAUGCCAUUAACCAGGAACCGGUUUAAUUGAUUUCUUAAAUUAGCUUCGAUAUAUAGAUAGGCGGAUAGACAGCUUAAAUCGUGGCAGUCGAGGAAAAUGAA
rnacentral:misc_RNA from 1 species